AAGGCUGGACUGCAGUGGCG
rnacentral:miRNA from 1 species